rnacentral:rRNA from 1 species
GAUGAACGCUAGCGGCAGGCUUAACACAUGCAAGUCGAGGGGUAGAGGCUUUCGGGCCUUGAGACCGGCGCACGGGUGCGUAACGCGUAUGCAAUCUGCCUUGUACUGGGGGAUCGCCCAGAGAAAUUUGGAUUAAUACCCCAUAGUAUUUUCGGUUGGCAUCAACUGCUUAUUAAAGUUUUUCGGUACAAGAUGAGCAUGCGUCCCCUUGGCUAGUUGGUAUGGUAACGGCAUACCAAGGCGACGAUGGGUAGGGGUCCUGAGAGGGAGGUACCCCACACUGUUACUGAGACAUGGACCGUACUCCUACGGGAGGCAGCAGUGAGGAAUAUUGGUCAAUGGUCGCAAGACUGAACCAGCCAUGCCGCGUGCAGGAUGAAGCAUCUAUGGUGUGUAAACUGCUUUUGUACGGGAAGAAACACUCCUACGUGUAGGGGCUUGACGGUACCGUAAGAAUAAGGAUCGGCUAACUCCGUGCCAGCAGCCGCCGCGGUAA